GACGUAGGGCGCGAGCGUUGGUCCGGAUUAUUGGGCGUAAAGAGCUCGUAGGCGGCUUGUCGCGUCGACUGGUGAAGCCCGGGGCUUAACCCGGGUCUGCAUUCGGAUACGGGCUAGCUAGAGUGUGGUAGGGGGAGAUCGGAAUUCCUGGUGUAGCGGUGAAAUGCGCAGGAUAUCAGGAGGAACACCGGUGGCGAAGGCGGGAUCUCUGGGCCAUUACUGACGCUGAGGAGCGAAAGCGUGGGGAGCGAACAGG
rnacentral:rRNA from 1 species